UUGGAGAGUUUGAUCCUGGCUCAGAACGAACGCUGGCGGCAGGCUUAACACAUGCAAGUCGAGCGCCCCGCAAGGGGAGCGGCAGACGGGUGAGUAACGCGUGGGAACGUACCAUUUGCUACGGAAUAACUCAGGGAAACUUGUGCUAAUACCGUAUGUGCCCUUCGGGGGAAAGAUUUAUCGGCAAAUGAUCGGCCCGCGUUGGAUUAGCUAGUUGGUGGGGUAAAGGCUCACCAAGGCGACGAUCCAUAGCUGGUCUGAGAGGAUGAUCAGCCACACUGGGACUGAGACACGGCCCAGACUCCUACGGGAGGCAGCAGUGGGGAAUAUUGGACAAUGGGCGCAAGCCUGAUCCAGCCAUGCCGCGUGAGUGAUGAAGGCCCUAGGGUUGUAAAGCUCUUUCACCGGUGAAGAUAAUGACGGUAACCGGAGAAGAAGCCGGCUAYCU
rnacentral:rRNA from 1 species